GGAAACAGAUGCUAAUACCGUAUAACAAUAGCAACCGCAUGGUUGCUACUUAAAAGAUGGUUCUGCUAUCACUAAGAGAUGGUCCCGCGGUGCAUUAGUUAGUUGGUGAGGUAAUGGCUCACCAAGACGAUGAUGCAUAGCCGAGUUGAGAGACUGAUCGGCCACGGUGGGACUGAGACACGGCCCAUACUCCUACGGGAGGCAGCAGUAGGGAAUCUUCCACAAUGGGCGAAAGCCUGAUGGAGCAACGCCGCGUGUGUGAUGAAGGGUUUCGGCUCGUAAAACACUGUUGUAAGAGAAGAAUGACAUUGAGAGUAACUGUUCAAUGUGUGACGGUAUCUUACCAGAAAGGAACGGCUAAAUACGUGCCAGCAGCCGCGGUAAUACGUAUGUUCCAAGCGUUAUCCGGAUUUAUUGAACGUAAAGCGAGCGCAGACGGUUAUUUAAGUCUGAAGUGUAAGCCCUCAGCUCAACUGAGGAAUUGCUUUGGAAACUGGAUGACUUGAGUGCAGUAGAGGAAAGUGGAACUCCAUGUGUAGCGGUGAAAUGCGUAGAUAUAUGGGAAGAACACCAGUGGCGAAGGCGGCUUUCUGGACUGUAACUGACGUUGAGGCUCGAAAGUGUGGGUAGCAAACAGGAUUAGAUACCCUGUAGUCCACACCGUAAACGAUGAGUGCUAG
rnacentral:rRNA from 1 species